AGGACAUACAAAUAUUUCUCUGGAAACAGAAAAUAUUUUAAAUUACUUCACUUAAUAUUUUGGACUCAGACUGGUAGUUCACAUUAUCUGGUCAUUAGUGUAGGUUUUUAGUCCAUGAUAUUAAUUGAGAAAAUACUGUGACAAUGGAUUAAGUCUUCUAAAAGUUGAUCUUUCAGCUCCAGAAUGAAGAGAUGUCAACACUAUUAAAACUUAGCUUGUUGGAGAAAAUGAAAGGUCUUGACUAAUUUAAAAGUGAGGGCAGAGUAAAAGUUUCCAGGCUUUAGCCAUCCUAAAGAAGAAAUGAGUUUCACUCUUAUAUCUUCACCAUUGUGCCUUCUUGGAACACUUGGUCAGAAGGUAGAAAAGGGGAAUUGUAGAAAAUUGUUCUUGUGUGAUUAAGGAAUUGUUUUAGAAUGCUGAGAUAUUAGUUGUUAUCUUGGGAAUGAUUUUCACUCCACAGCAUUGGAGGGAUGUUCUUUUGCGGUUUUGUUUUGAUGUGGGUGUCAACAUGGAAAAUCAUUUAGGGGAAAGAACAGGAACUCUCAUUAGAUGAAAAAGGAGUGCUUCAAGAAGUGGGAACAGACAGUGAUUUCUCUUUGAAUGAACCAUGGGUGGACAGGAACAUUACAGAAGCCCUUAACAAGCCACUGUUUGGGAAAUUAUGUCUCCUCAGAUUAUACUACUGCAUGGCACUUAGAUUUUGAAAACACUUUGCAACAAACUUAAUCUGUCAGCCAGCAAACAAUACUUAAUCUGUCAGCCAGCAAAAAAUACUUCAUCUUUCAGCCAGCAAUUUACAAAAUUGAAAUAUUAAAUGUUGGGAUGGAUAGACUCAGAAAGGCCAGUCAGACUGACCCCUUUACUGAAUAGAUCAGAAACUCAAACCUAAGCAGUUGUUUGUUCAAAGAUGAACAGCUCACCUCCAGGCCCCUUAAGUUUGCUUACUGAGGGUUAGAACUCAAAUGGAAUGCUUACAGUUCUGGUUAUCCAGUCAUUACAUCAUGUAUUACCACAAAAACAUAAAUUGUCUUUCAGUAACUACACCAAGAAUAAUUUGAAGAUGAAGUAUCAGAGAAGAAAACAGAAUGAGAAGAUGCUCUACACACAGCGAUGGAUUCAGUAUUCUAAUCUCGGGGAUGGAGACAUCUUAAGAAGGGUGAAAGCAAGCCAAGAUUGUGGCACCUACAUUUCAUUUGGGAGAUGAAUGUGAUCAGGGUGAAGAAGGCUUUGCUCAGUUAAUAUGUCAUGGCAUUUACUGCAAUGCCUGGCACAGUUAUGCUUGAUAAAUACCUGGUGAAUGAAUAAAUAGAUUAAUGGAUGAAUGGAGACUCUGAUA
rnacentral:lncRNA from 1 species